rnacentral:tRNA from 1 species
GCCUGGCUGGCUCAGUUGGUGGAGCAUGUAAUUCUUAAUCUCAGGGUUGUGAGUUCAAGCCCCAUGUUAGGUG